AUGGGGAAGAUAAGCAGAUACCUAGACUCAGCGAAGCAGAAGUUCAGCGGGAUGAAGUCUCACGACUGUCGCGUGCUGAUGACGCAGAUACUUCUAGUUGCAAUCUGUGGGAUCAUGGACGCUCACGUCCGUGAAACGCUAUUUGGCCUAUGCAACUUUUUCGACGUCAUCUCUCGGAAGUCGGUUGGCGUGAGGCAAUUCAGAAGGCUACAAGAAGAGAUCGUGCUGAUACUAUGCGAGCUUGAGAUGUACUUCCCGCCUGCAUUCUUCAAUGUUAUGGUGCAUCUGCUGGUCCAUAUCGUGGAGGAUAUCAUCCAACUCGGGCUGACAUUCCUGCACAGCAUGAUGCCGUUCGAAAGGAUGAAUGGUGUCAUCAAAGGAUACAUUCGCAACAUGUCACGUCCAGAGGGAAGCAUAGCCAAGGGCUUUCUGACCGAAGAGUGCAUCUCCAACUGCACGAAUUAUCUAGGCAUCGAGAACCUCAUUGGUCUGCCCGUCAACAGGCACCUCGGCAGGUCGCUGGAUGGAGUCACCAUGAGGGUCGCCGCAAAAUGCAUGUCGACUUCGAGGGUUGACUCGCCGACUUUGAAAGAGCAAACCUAG
rnacentral:rRNA from 1 species